AGAGUUUGAUCCUGGCUCAGAAUCAAUGCUGGCGGCGUGCCUAACACAUGCAAGUCGAACGAGAAAGUGGGAGCAAUCCUGCGAGUACAGUGGCAGACGGGUGAGUAACACGUGAACAACCUACCCUCGAGCGUGGAAUAACACCGCGAAAGCGGUGCUAAUACCGCAUAACAUCCCUGGAACGCAUGUUCUGGGGAUCAAAGGCGCAAGUCGCUGGAGGAGGGGUUCGCGCCUGAUUAGCUAGUUGGUGAGGUAACGGCCCACCAAGGCGACGAUCAGUAGCCGGCCUGAGAGGGCGAACGGCCACACUGGAACUGAGACACGGUCCAGACUCCUACGGGAGGCAGCAGUGGGGAAUUUUGCGCAAUGGGCGAAAGCCUGACGCAGCAACGCCGCGUGGAGGAUGAAGGCCUUCGGGUCGUAAACUCCUGUCAGGGGGGACGAAUACCUUAACCGGUUUGACUGUACCCCCUGAGGAAGCCACGGCUAACUCCGUGCCAGCAGCCGCGGUAAUACGGAGGUGGCAAGCGUUGUUCGGAAUUACUGGGCGUAAAGGGCGCGUAGGCGGCUUGGCAAGUCAGAUGUGAAAGCCCCGGGCUUAACUCGGGAAUUGCAUCUGAAACUGCUUUGCUUGAGUCCUGGAGGGGGUAGUGGAAUUCCCAGUGUAGCGGUGAAAUGCGUAGAUAUUGGGAGGAACACCUGCGGCGAAGGCGGCUACCUGGACAGUGACUGACGCUGAUGCGCGAAAGCUAGGGGAGCAAACGGGAUUAGAUACCCCGGUAGUCCUAGCCGUAAACGAUGGGCACUUGGUGUCGGGGGUAUUGAGUCCCCUGGUGCCGGAGUUAACACGUUAAGUGCCCCGCCUGGGGAGUACGGUCGCAAGACUGAAACUCAAAGGAAUUGACGG
rnacentral:rRNA from 1 species